rnacentral:rRNA from 1 species
UACGUAGGGGGCAAGCGUUGUCCGGAUUUAUUGGGCGUAAAGAGCGUGUAGGCGGCCAUGUAGGUCCGUUGUGAAAACUCGAGGCUCAACCUCGAGACGCCGAUGGAAACCAUCUGGCUAGAGUCCGGAAGAGGAGAGUGGAAUUCCUGGUGUAGCGGUGAAAUGCGCAGAUAUCAGGAAGAACACCGGUGGCGAAGGCGGCUCACUGGCUCGUAACUGACGCUCAUGCACGACAGCGUGGGGAACAAACAGG